rnacentral:rRNA from 1 species
AACGAACGCUGGCGGCAUGCCUAACACAUGCAAGUCGAACGAGACCUUCGGGUCUAGUGGCGCACGGGUGCGUAACGCGUGGGAAUCUGCCCUUGGGUUCGGAAUAACAGUUAGAAAUGACUGCUAAUACCGGAUGAUGACUUCGGUCCAAAGAUUUAUCGCCCAGGGAUGAGCCCGCGUAGGAUUAGCUAGUUGGUGAGGUAAAGGCUCACCAAGGCGACGAUCCUUAGCUGGUCUGAGAGGAUGAUCAGCCACACUGGGACUGAGACACGGCCCAGACUCCUACGGGAGGCAGCAGUGGGGAAUAUUGGACAAUGGGCGAAAGCCUGAUCCAGCAAUGCCGCGUGAGUGAUGAAGGCCUUAGGGUUGUAAAGCUCUUUUACCCGGGAUGAUAAUGACAGUACCGGGAGAAUAAGCUCCGGCUAACUUCGUGCCAGCCGCCGCAGUAAGAC